UUGGUGGUGCCUCCAGAUGGCUGACUAAGGCAAACAGAAAUCUCUGCAAACUAGACCUCGGCGCAGGCCAGAAGCAAUUGUGGGAAACCAUAGCAAUGUUAAAAACUGAAAAGUUUCGUAUCCUACAAUUGAUGAAAUAGGAUAAACAACAUCUUGACAGCGGCCAUCUCAAUGCUCAGUGCACAAUACUAUCUGUUACACAUGGAUACCAGCAAUAGCACACGGGGGGCUCUGGUGUGAGAGACAGCCAGCUCCGUGCUCAUCUGCGAUCUGAGUCUCAUCUGCGACAGGGAGUUUCUGCUCCUGCUGUAACCACCAUCGUCAGCAAUUAAAACAAAGGUCAUGGCAAUGAAAAAGCUGACUAAAACAGAGAAGCACCCCAGGACUGGACACAGUACCCAAUCCCAACACCUGGUCACUCUUCACGAGGUUUACCCAGGAAAAUUGUCCCAGUGACAAACCCUCAAAUCGCUGUCAUCAGACUUUAACAGUGUGAUUUCUCCUGCCCAUGACAACCACACAAGUCCUACUCCAAGCUGACAUCUCAAGCUGACACUCCUCCAAGCUGACACUGAAACUGCUAUCUAUCUAGACCUUGGCCUAGAAUAAGACCCUGAGCAAAUUAUUUGCUUGGUUUUUAAUCUUAUCUGACCUUCUACAGUGACUCUUUGUGAAUCUUUGCAUUCAUAUCUGCUCUUUGCCUUUGUUCUCAGUUUAGCCUUCUGAACCCCUUAUCUGCCUUAACCAUUUCUUAGCUUAUAUGAUUGUGCAAUAGGUGAUAUUUGACCUGAGUGUUGUAGAUAUUAGAAAUUAAGAUUGGAAUAAAAGAACUCAAGAUUGCCUGGUUUAUCAGGUGAGCCACAUGUAUUCAUUGAACUGCAACUGAUGGAAGUGGUGUAGCCUGUGGAUUUAUUGUUAUUCAGUAAAUUCUGACAUUGUGGAAAGACACAAAUGUGGUUGGUCUAUGUUAAUGACAUAGCAUGCUCACAACUGCCAAAAAAAAUCAAAUUUAAUUUUCUUGUAUAUGGACUGAUGCAUAUACAAAGAUUCCAGGGAUCA